AACGAACGCUGGCGGCAUGCCUAACACAUGCAAGUCGAACGAGACCUUCGGGUCUAGUGGCGCACGGGUGCGUAACGCGUGGGAACCUGCCCUUAGGUUCGGAAUAACUCCCCGAAAGGGGUGCUAAUACCGGAUAAUGUCUUCGGACCAAAGAUUUAUCGCCUUUGGAUGGGCCCGCGUUGGAUUAGCUAGUUGGUAGGGUAAAAGCCUACCAAGGCGACCAUCCAUAGCUGGUCUGAGAGGAUGAUCAGCCACACUGGGACUGAGACACGGCCCAGAAUCCUACGGGAGGCAGCAGUGGGGAAUAUUGGAAAGUGGGCGAAAGCAUGAUCCAGCAAUGCCGCGUGAGUGAUGAAGGCCUUAGGGUUGUAAAGCUCUUUCACCCGGGACGAUAAUGACAGUACCGGGAGAAUAAGCUCCGGCUAACUCCGUG
rnacentral:rRNA from 1 species